GCCCCAAGGUGAGAGGGAACGGUGCUGC
rnacentral:piRNA from 1 species